CCUGAGUUUUUUUUGUCUAUUAUUUCGGACUGUGGUGUUUCCUUGCCAGUUGAGGGCCCUCCUGUUCUCAUUAUUUGCUGAUUAGAUUAUUCGCCUACUACCACAAGACGCGCAGUGGAGCAGAAGUUGAAGUUGCAUCCUCGUUUUCCAAAAGUUGCAAGUGAAUUUCUUGAAAGCCUUACUCGAGUGUGGCGAAAUGUUGAUGUCUUGCACACUUUAUUACUUCCCGCUGAAUAUAUCAACGAAU